UCUGAUUAGCUAGUUGGUAGGGUAAAAGCCUACCAAGGCAUCGAUCAGUAACUGGUCUGAGAGGAUGACCAGUCACACUGGGACUGAGACACGGCCCAGACUCCUACGGGAGGCAGCAGUGGGGAAUUUUCCGCAAUGGGCGAAAGCCUGACGGAGCAAUACCGCGUGAGGGAGGAAGGCUCUUGGGUUGUAAACCUCUUUUCUCAGGGAAGAAGAUCUGACGGUACCUGAGGAAUCAGCAUCGGCUAACUCCGUGCCAGCAGCCGCGGUAAUACGGAGGAUGCAAGCGUUAUCCGGAAUGAUUGGGCGUAAAGCGUCCGCAGGUGGCUGCUUCAAGUCUGCUGUCAAAGCUCAGGGCUUAACCCUGAAUCGGCGGUGGAAACUGAACGGCUAGAGUGCGGUAGGGGCAGAGGGAAUUCCCAGUGUAGCGGUGAAAUGCGUAGAGAUUGGGAAGAACACCGGUGGCGAAAGCGCUCUGCUGGACCGCAACUGACACUCAUGGACGAAAGCUAGGGGAGCGAAUGGGAUUAGAUACCCCAGUAGUCCUAGCCGU
rnacentral:rRNA from 1 species